rnacentral:rRNA from 1 species
GUGGGGAAUAUUGGACAAUGGGGGGAACCCUGAUCCAGCCAUGCCGCGUGUGUGAAGAAGGCCUUUUGGUUGUAAAGCACUUUAAGCGAGGAGGAGGCUACCGAGAUUAAUACUCUUGGAUAGUGGACGUUACUCGCAGAAUAAGCACCGGCUAACUCUGUGCCAGCAGCCGCGGUAAUACAGAGGGUGCACGCGUUAAUCGGAUUUACUGGGCGUAAAGCGCGCGUAGGUGGCCAAUUAAGUCAAAUGUGAAGUCCCCGAGCUUAACUUGGGAAUUGCAUUCGAUACUGGUUGGCUAGAGUAUGGGAGAGGAUGGUAGAAUUCCAGGUGUAGCGGUGAAAUGCGUAGAGAUCUGGAGGAAUACCGAUGGCGAAGGCAGCCAUCUGGCCUAAUACUGACACUGAGGUGCGAAAGCAUGGGGAGCAAACAGGAUUAGAAACCCGGGUAGUCC